AUCCGAUAUGUAGGGUGCGGCAAAGCUUAAUGUUAUUUGUACGUAACUUGCAUUUUGAAGUUAAAGUACAGAAAACUUUUGAAGUCAUUAGUAUGUGAGUCAAAGUGUGUUUGUUUUUCGUAUUUUGUAAUCGAACCAAACAUUUUAUGCCUUUCCAUUUAUAGUAUUCUUUAAGACAGUUCCUGUCAUCUUUUAAAUUUCUUUUUAUGGAAAUUACCGGUGUGGCUGAUGUUGCCUAAUUAGUUGUGUGAAAUUGAAGUUGACACGGCAACAGUAUUACGCCAUGUAGUUGACCGACGUUUCAGAGGUGCUUUCUGCCUCCAGCAGUUGUGUUUAGAGAUUAAUCUAUUCAACAGUUUCAGUGAGUCACAAAAGGAAUUGACACCAGUUGCUGUUUUCAUCACAGUUCCUGUGAAUUUAGUGUUUCUGAUAGUAACAAAGUUUUGAGAAAGUUAGACCACUUUAAGUUUUAUAGUCCAUGUGUCAUGGCAUACUCAUGUCUGCUGGCUGUGCAUUAUUGUAGUGGGACACUGAACUGUUACUUCAUAGUGAAAGUCCAGACAUCAGCCCCAAAGUAUGGGGGUUUCAAUUCCCUGUUUGCAUAUCAUAAGGAUUAGGGGCUGUGGAAUGUUUAAUCACCUGAGGGUGAAGGCUCACACCAGCCCUGAAAAUGCCACACACAUAUGCAAACAUGCACAGUUCCAGAAUUGAGAAUACAUUAUGCAUGUGUAUGUGUGUGUGUGUAUAUGAAUAUGAACACCCAGCAAGUGGUCAAAGAUGCCCAGAUGACAGCAUGAAGCCCAAGACACGUGAUGCACGACUACACUAUGGCUGCUAAGGCCAUUGUUAUGUUUACACCCCACUCAACUUUUUAAAACUCAAUACUGUGGGUAACAUUCUUUGGCCUUGUUGUAUUAGAAUGCUGUGUCAGGUUUUAUCCUCCCGCAAUUUGUGUGUCCUUCAGUAUGUUAUUGUUAAUUUCCCAAUGUAUAUUAUGCACCACAAAAUAAACAUGUUCUUUAAAUUACA